ACCGGUCGUACGUUUGUAGGAUUUUUCUCAUCAUACUUAGUAAAUUAGUAAAUGAAAAAAAUGCAACGGAUAUUCAGUGGAUACAUCAAAUCCCACGGAUAUGCAAUCGCUCUGGCAGCGCUAACGUUUGGGUGCAUCUUCGCUUCCGAUGUGUCACUCACGGAUGAGCUGCGGCAGGUCCGGUCACUGGACGACAUCCCGGACGGUAUCGCUACGAUAGAUCGACCAAAUCACCACCACCGGCUAGAUGCCAUUAGCAGCAGUAAGACGACGUACUUUCGGAUGCGCCCGCUGGGACAGCUGAUCUUCUCGCUGGUGUGGGUACUGGCCGGGAUGAUCUUUCUGAUCGGUUUGCUGUUCAACAAGAAGGAAACGAUUUUUCCCUUCGCGACCAUUUUCGCGAUCGAUUGGUGCGUGAUUUUGAUCCAACAUUUGACCAAGCUGGAACGGCGGGGCUUCCAGGAGGUGAUGCUGUCGGCCGAAACUGCAGUAUUAGUCGUCAUUCCCGUGUACGUUGGUUUCACACUGGCGGUGCUGUACAAGUUGUUCGACAGCCGGCAAACACAGGCGGAAAGUGCCAAUUCAGAUGAUCUGGAAAGUGGUCACAAACCGGUCAAGUUCACGCUGGGGGACGAAUUUGACGAUUCCUGGAUUAGCUAGCCGCACGAACGAACGAACGAACGAACGGCGUGGUCGUUGUUGCACAAUCGCACCCAGCAUAGCAACCCCAGUAUUAGGCCCGUAUAGAAGAGAUUCCCUUCUCAUUUUAUUAUGUUAAUGUGAAUUACAAAGAAACUACUUUCUUUGGUUCGGUUUGGUCAGCCAACAGUGCGUUGCGAUUGCACCGAUCAUCUGUCUGGAGGCUGAUCUCAUUGACGUAGUCUCCGAGUAACGAGUAACGAUCGCAUCCUCUUAUCUUCUUCUCCUUGUCCGUCUCGGUCUAGCUCAUUGUCGAUGGGGCGGCGGUUUCCUCUGGUGUUCGCCAGUAAACACACACGCUCGGAAUGGAAGAAAUCAAUCUUCAACUGAUAAGGACUACACGUAUUCAUGUUCCAGGAACGCUGCUUAAUCCACGAUUGAGUCCGAUCUAUAAACGCAUAAUUGUCAGUUGAUGAAUGUUGCCCACAAAAGCUGGUAGGUCGGAGCAGCUACUCGCCUAACGACGACUGAAAAUGGAGCAAAAGCUGGUUCGUUUCAUUAAAUUUCACGGAUAUUUGUACUUAAGUUGUGCCUUGGUGUUUACAAUCCGGGAGCUGUCGCAGCUAACUCUGGAGGCAUUGUACUCUAACCAGAAUUAUUGGAUCUAUGGAAGAGAUUUACUGACCCGAUGCAACCCAACAGUACGUUGGCUGUUUGCCUUACUGUGGUUAACGGCUUUGGCCGUUAUGUACUACGGGAUGCGCUGGGAGGAACGCCAUUAUCUUCGGCCGGUUAAAUGUUUGUUUUUGAUCGAAGUGGUGAUAGUGUUGGUGCAGGACUUUGUUCAUACGAUUAAACACGAACCAGAUGAACGACUGAUCUGUGAUAUGCAGUAUCUUUUCUUCUUCUUCGCAAUUGUUACCUAUGUUCUGUACACGCUGGAAACACUGGCUAUUCUAUUCGAUCGACCAAAGACACGAAUUGUGACCAGUCCAAGCAAGACGCCAAUAAUUAACUGUGAUAGUUCUAUGAUGGUUUAGGCUAAUGAGCUUAACUAUAGUUUGUUAAUACUUUCUUCAGAAUACUUAGUAUGUAAGUAUGUAAGAUAAAUUUGAAAGUUUUUUUUCUCAAAUAUACAAAAUUAAAUGCAAAUUGGAACGUGUUUAAUGCAAACUUCUUAAAAGAAAGCUAAUAAUAGUCAAAAUUUUAUCAACAUUUUUUGCAGGACUAAAAAUAUUUGGGAACCAAAA